rnacentral:rRNA from 1 species
AACGAACGCUGGCGGCAUGCCUAAUACAUGCAAGUCGAACGAGAUCUUCGGAUCUAGUGGCGCACGGGUGCGUAACGCGUGGGAAUCUGCCCUUGGGUUCGGAAUAACUUCUGGAAACGGAAGCUAAUACCGGAUGAUGAUGUAAGUCCAAAGAUUUAUCGCCCAAGGAUGAGCCCGCGUAGGAUUAGCUAGUUGGUGGGGUAAAGGCCCACCAAGGCGACGAUCCUUAGCUGGUCUGAGAGGAUGAUCAGCCACACUGGGACUGAGACACGGCCCAGACUCCUACGGGAGGCAGCAGUAGGGAAUAUUGGACAAUGGGCGAAAGCCUGAUCCAGCAAUGCCGCGUGAGUGAUGAAGGCCUUAGGGUUGUAAAGCUCUUUUACCCGGGAUGAUAAUGACAGUACCGGGAGAAUAAGCUCCGGCUAACUCCGUG